CCCUGAUGCCUGCAUUAAAAACAACAGCAGCAACAACAACAACAACAACAACAACAACAACAACAACAUAGGUGAUUCUGAUGAUCACCAGGAUUGAAAACCACUGGACCAUUGCUUUGAGAGAUGGUGCCAUGGCCAGAGACGGAGGUCCACUAUCCAUUGGUUGAUAUCCAUUCUUCUGUGGAGAAUCCUGCUGGUUAUAUAUCAAUUAUCUGGUGAAAGAGACACUUCUUUGCAUCUCUUCCAAACUUGGCCCUCAGAGACUUCAUGUUGGUAACUUAAAAUCGACCAGGCCUUACCUGUAUGACCCUACUGGGUAUGAAUGAGAAAGAACAUAUUGAAAUUGAGAAAAGAAGAUUUACAUGAUGAAAUCAACUCUAAGGAAAGAAGUAGUCAGGAAACCUGUUGAAAGAAAAUGAAAGCAAUGUAUUUCAGCAAUUACUUAAAUCCUGCAAGAAGAUCAUGUUUGAUGGGUUGCUUCCCUUUCCUGUAUCAUUCUCCCAAUAAUAUUAAGGCAGCGUGUAGAGCUGAAUGAAAACACUGGGCUCAGUAUCUAGGAAACCAGAAAUUUAGCCCUACUGCUGUCACUAUGAACUGUGAAUCUCUGUGCCCUUGAUUUUCAGAAAGCAGUUGGUGUAGAUAGCUGAAACUACAGAAGAGAAAACUGUGAAUAAAAGGGAUCGACUGUACCCUUAUAACCACCACUCUAAUCAAGAUAUAGAACAGCUUCAUCA